rfam:Massilia sp. CF038 genome assembly, contig: Ga0115467_101
UCCACCCUGCGGUGUUCGCGAUUGCCAUAUAUUCCUUGAACCAUUUAUGUGCACAGGUUGCGGAAUUUUGUUUGAUGGGAGUGAGCGUCACUCGUUUGACGAACCCGAAAUUGAACUAACUGUGACCGCCUUGAACCAUUAGGUUCAGGAUGCCGGCGAAGACGGCACAUGCGGGGCUUCG